rnacentral:rRNA from 1 species
CCUACGGGUGACUGCAGUGAGGAAUAUUGGUCAAUGGACGAGAGUCUGAACCAGCCAAGUAGCGUGAAGGAUGACUGCCCUAUGGGUUGUAAACUUCUUUUAUAUGGGAAUAAAAUGUUCCACGUGUGGGCUUUUGUAUGUACCAUAUGAAUAAGGAUCGGCUAACUCCGUGCCAGCAGCCGCGGUAAUACGGAGGAUCCGAGCGUUAUCCGGAUUUAUUGGGUUUAAAGGGAGCGUAGGUGGAUUGUUAAGUCAGUUGUGAAAGUUUGCGGCUCAACCGUAAAAUUGCAGUUGAAACUGGCUGGCUUGAGUACAGUAGAGGUGGGCGGAAUUCGUGGUGUAGCGGUGAAAUGCUUAGAUAUCACGAAGAACUCCGAUUGCGAAGGCAGCUCACUGGACUGCAACUGACACUGAGGCUCGAAAGUGUGGGUAUCAAACAGGAUUAGAUACCCGUGUAGUC